UACGAAGGGGGCUAGCGUUGCUCGGAAUGACUGGGCGUAAAGGGCGCGUAGGCGGCUCAUACAGUCAGGCGUGAAAUUCCUGGGCUCAACCUGGGGACUGCGCUUGAGACGUGUGGGCUUGAGUGAGGAAGAGGGUCGUGGAAUUCCCAGUGUAGAGGUGAAAUUCGUAGAUAUUGGGAAGAACACCGGUGGCGAAGGCGGCGACCUGGUCCUUGACUGACGCUGAGGCGCGAAAGCGUGGGGAGCGAACAGG
rnacentral:rRNA from 1 species